UAGCCUCCCGUAGUCCCGUCCCGUCCCCCCACGAAAUUGGCCAAUCAAUCAAACAUUCAGGCAAUCAAUCGAUUCAAUUUGGAACCCGAGCGUCAAUCAAUCCACCGGUCUCAUUCCCCUCCCCAUCGGCGUGGUGCUUGAGUGGCGGGCCGGUGGUCGGGUUCGGCGGGGCCUGGCAGAACGACACUCGGACGAAGCGCUGCUGUGCUCGAGGUGUGAGCAGCCGGGAGGAGGAGCUCCGGCCACCUCCCACCUGUUCCCAUCCGCGGCCGUUUCUUGCACGCGCGCGGUGACCGGCAUUAGGUGUGCGGCUGCGGGAGCCAUGGCUUCGCUAUCGCCAGGAGUAGGUGUUCUGAUGGAUUAGAUUAUCCUGUUGCCUUCUGAUUCCUCUCGUGUACAGAGAGGCACAUUCAUGGAAGUUCAGGUUAUAACUGCAUGUUUCAGUUCUUUCAGCACACCUUUAAGUUUAUGGAUUAGGUUUAGAGCAUUCCUGGUGGCUAUUGGAUCAUAUAUGAGUUGGAUGGCACCUGGGCAGCAGGCUAACUAGCCAGCCAGCGUUUGCUGCGGAGCAACUAAGCAGCGUGACAGGGUCGAACCCCGGCUACCCGCACGUCAGGAGGGUCAGGUGUACAGACGGAGGGGGCCGCCCCUCGAACCUCACUCGAGGCAGACGGAGCAGCGGGUCAGUAGCAGGAGCACUCCGCUCGGCACCAUUUGCAGACCUAGUCACGGUACUUUAUUUGUUCCCCAGGCAGUCGUUCAUGGAUCAGACAGUCACCGAGAGGGAGGCUGAUGAUGGGAAGGGUUACUUCAUCUCGUGGAUCUGGUGUAAGGCAAGCCUCUGUGCAUGAUUUUAUCGUACUAUUACUAAGAGUGUCAUAUCAGCU